CAGGUAUCUAAAUCCAUGUCUGCAGUGGUCAAGUCUAUGGAUGCUAUUCUGAAAAGCAUGAAUUUGGAGAAGAUCUCUGAAUUAAUGGACAAGUUUGAAAACCAAUUUGAAACUUGACGUGCAGACAGCUCAGAUGGAAGACAGAAUGGGCAACACCACCACUCUGACAACACGUCAGAAUGAAGUGGAUACACUGUUGCAUGAGAUGGCUGAUGAAGCAGGUUGGAUCUCAACCUGGAGCUUCCUGCAGGCCGGACUUCCUCACUCCCUUCAUCUACAUCAACAGAGCAGGUGUCGUAAUGAUGGGAAACAAUAAGAAGAUCAGGAGGAGGGAGAAGAGACGAGGAGUGAAAAAGUGGAGAAUAAACGAUAAAAGGUGCCAUGUGCCUGAAAGCUCUGUGUUCCAGGUUUGUUCUGUAGUACAGGAGCGGUCUAACAGCAGAACGGGAGCGAGAGUAAAGAGGGAUAUUUACAGACCUAACUGCACCACAUGCAGUCCUUCUAUAAUAAUGCUCAUGUGCACACUAACAUGUAUUGUGAUUAUUUAUCAGCAAUAGGAUACAACUGUGCUGGCAUGUUUCUUUAUUUUAACAUGGUACACAUGGGAUGUAUUUCUGAAUGGGAUUUGUUUGCGCAAAUUGUUGAGAAAAAGACAAUUGUGUACUACUUCAUAGCUAAUACCUCUUUCCUCAAGUGGUUCAACACUAUGUAUAACAUGCAAAGAGCAAUAUUACAUAAUUGUGUAUUUAUUUAUUUCUGACAUGCUCUUAUUUACUGCUAAGAGCAUGCUUGUGUUCUAACAGUUAUCUCCGACCUGCAGGACUUCUGGUAUUGUUGCCUUGUUGGUUUCUGUUUUGGCUGUCGUGCUGAAACUCAAACUUAUUUAGUUUCUUUGUAUUGCAUGGUGGGGCUCAUCGUCAAUGUUUGCCUUGAACAUGCUUUGGAGAAGGCUGUACUAUCGUCGAUAUUCUGCAUGCAGCGUUAACAACUCUCGUGGCUCACCGUGCACUUUAAUGCAAAGUCAGAAUGUCAUUUCAAAAGGUUUUCAGCAUGUUUUACUUGUCACGUCUUUUUGAAGUUUAUAGCUGUGUUUUGUCUCUGCGUCUCUCUGUCCAUCCAUGCUACCCCUCCUCUUUCUCUCUUCCAACAGGGAACAGAUGAGAGGUCAAAGGUGUCACCUGUAGAGGAAGUGGCCCUCUGCCGCUCGCAUGCCAGUCCCUUAUUACACACACACACACACACACACACACACACACCCACACACACACACACACACACACACACACACACACACACACACACACACACACACACACAUAGUUCAGCAUAUCCCAGGGGUGAGGUGAGACUCAGCUGGGAGCCAUUACAGGUGCUGUCCAAGCACACAGGCAUAUCUCUACAUGAACAGCCCCAUAGCUGAUGGGAGUCCUCCGGAGUGACAUUCACUCACCUCUGACCCUUUUUGUGUCCUUCCUAAUCAUCAUCAGCACACACUUACCUACAUUCACAAUCAUCAUCAGUGCCCCCCAGACUGACACAAGUCUCUAUUUUGCCUAUUACGCACAUACUUCUUCAAGUCCCCCGGUGAUCCAACAGCUGUCAGUCAUUUCUGCCGGGAGUUAGAUCACCUGGAAUUAAAAUUCCAUGUCCCUCUGCUGUCAGAGAAACACAAUCUAUUUGGUAAGUUUUGUUUUAAAUGUAUUUUUAACCUUCAGUGGCCAACUCUUUAAGUAUGAUUAAAGCCGGGAGAGUCUGUCCCGGCCUACGUUUGUCUGCGCUGUGUGCAUCUCAACAUGUGUGCAGGGAUGCUUCCUCCAGAUGUGCUGGAGCCGGCUCCUGUGCGAGCUUUGCUCUGGGGGAAGCCCUUGUUUGUAUAUGUGUGUGUGUCAGGUGUUGAUACCAAGUGGCUUCCUCCAGUGCCGUCAACACCUCCUUGUCUGGGUUCCUUAGAGGGGUAGUAUUUGCUGACAGGAGGGGAUCCGGUGGCCCUGUCUGCUUCUGCACGGGGGGGAGCAGAGCCACACACGCUGGCUCGGUGAAAAAGCUCUAAUUGCAACAAGGGGGAUUGUUCAGACUACAUGAUUCACACACAGGAAAUGAAACGGUGUGUCCAGGCAGUUAGUUGUAAGCUGGGGGAUUCAGCAGGAAAAGAUAAAUGUUCCUAAAGCCCAGAUUUAUAUCUUGAGAAUAAAAGAGAAUAUCUGCUUUAAACACAUGAGAUGAUUUGUGGCUUUUAUAUCUAAAUAUCUUCAUCUGCGUUUUGGACUUUUGAAGACGUCACUUUGGGCUCUGGAAAAUGUACCUUUUAAAGGUCUUUUACAAACUGCCCUGAAGGAAACUUGUUGCUAUUUUCCAUAAUCCUUGACUCAGGUGGAAUGUAUUAUGGAUAUCGCUGGUUUGGCAUGUAUUGUGAUGCAUUUAUGUAUUCUAUGUGUCCUAACAUGUUAAAGUGUUUUAUGUGUAUCUGCUUAUGCUGCCAACUUGGCCACGACUCCCUGGAAGAAUAGAUGUUGUAUAUCAACGGGCCUUCCCGGCUAA